CAGCAAUAAAAAGAAAAAGGCUAUUGAUACAACAUGGAUGUCUUAAAAAACAUACAUCCGACUACAGGAUAUGGCGGAGUCCAGGCACUGUGUGGCUGGACCCCCAGCUCUGGGGCCACGCCACGGAACCGCUUACUGCUGCAGCUUUUGGGGUCACCCGGCCACCGCUGUUACAGUCUUCCCCCGCAUCAGAAGGUUCCAUUGCCUUCUCUUUCCCCCACAAUGCAGUCAGGCGCCAUAGCCCAUUGGGAAAAAAAAGAGGGGGGCAAAAUCAACGAAGGUGACCUAAUUGCAGAAGUUGAAACUGAUAAAGCCACUGUUGGAUUUGAGAGCCUGGAGGAGUGUUAUAUGGCAAAGAUACUUGUUGCUGAAGGUACCAGGGAUGUUCCCAUUGGAGCAAUCAUCUGUAUCACAGUUGGCAAGCCUGAGGAUAUUGAGGCUUUUAAAAAUUAUACAUUGGAUUCCUCAGCAGCACCUACCCCACAGGCGGCCCCAGCACCAACCCCUGCUGCCACUGCUUCACCACCUACACCUUCUGCUCAGGCUCCUGGUAGCUCAUAUCCCCCUCACAUGCAGGUACUUCUUCCUGCCCUCUCUCGCACCAUGACCAUGGGCACAGUUCAGAGAUGGGAAAAAAAAGUGGGUGAGAAGCUAAGUGAAGGAGACUUACUGGCAGAGAUAGAGACUGACAAAGCCACUAUAGGUUUUGAAGUACAGGAAGCAGGUUAUCUGGCAAAAAUCCUGGUCCCUGAAGGCACAAGAGAUGUCCCUCUAGGAACCCCACUCUGUAUCAUUGUAGAAAAAGAGGCAGAUAUAUCAGCAUUUGCUGACUAUAGGCCAACUGAAGUAACAGAUUUAAAACCACAAGCACUACCACCUACCCCACCCCCGGUGGCCACUGUUCCUCCAACUCCCCAGCCUUUAGCUCCUACACCUUCAGCACCCUGCCCAGCUACUCCUGCUGGACCAAAGGGAAGGGUGUUUGUUAGCCCUCUUGCAAAGAAGUUGGCAGUAGAGAAAGGGAUUGAUCUUACACAAGUAAAAGGUACAGGACCAGAUGGUAGAAUCACCAAGAAGGAUAUUGACUCUUUUGUGCCUAGUAAAGCUGCUCCUGCUCCAGCAGCUGUUGUGCCUCCCACAGGUCCUGGAAUGGCACCAGUUCCUACAGAUGUCUUCACAGAUAUCCCAAUUAGCAACAUUCGUCAGGUUAUUGCACAACAAUUAAUGCAAUCAAAGCAAACCAUACCUCAUUAUUACCUUUCUAUAGAUGUAAAUAUGGGAGAAGUUUUGUUGGUACGGAAAGAACUUAGUAAGAUUUUAGAAGGGAGAAGCAAAAUUUCUGUCAAUGACUUCAUCAUAAAAGCUUCAGCUUUGGCAUGUCUAAAAGUUCCCAAAGCAAAUUCUUCUUGGAUGGACACAGUUAUGAGACAAAAUCACAUUGUUGAUAUCAGUGUUGCAGUCAGUACUCCUAUAGGACUCAUCACACCUAUUGUGUUUAAUGCACAUAUAAAAGGGCUGGAAACCAUUACUAAUGAUGAUGUUUCUUUAGCAACCAAAGCAAGAGAGGGUAAACUACAGCCACACAAAUUCCAGGGUGGCACUUUUACGAUCUCCAAUUUAGGAAUGUUUGGAAUUAAGAAUUUCUCUGCUAUUAUUAACCUACCUCAAGCAUGUAUUUUGGCAGUUGGUGCUUCAGAGGAUAAACUGGUUCCCACAGAUAAUGAAAAAGGGUUUGAUGUGGCUAGCAUGAUGUCUGUUACACUCAGUUGUGAUCACCAGGUGGUGGAUGGAGCAGUUAGAGACCAGUGGCUUGCUGAGUUUAGAAAGUACCUUGAAAAACCUAUCACCAUGUUGUUGUAACUAACUCAAUAGAAAGAAAAGAGAGCACCAAAGAUUGAGGGGAGAAAUCCUCCAGUGCAGGGGUAUGAAGUGCAGGGGUAUGAAGAAAAGACUCUCCCAGGUCACAAUGAUUCAUUCUUAUCAAGAUAUUUAUGUAUUAAACAGGUGGUUCGUUUUAUUUUAACCAGUUAUUUUUAUUAUUGAGUCUGUCUAGAUAAGUUAUUUAUAAUGGACAUUACUGAAUUUUUAAAAUGCCGAUUACACCCAAAUAUUGUGCACAUUUAAUAAUCAGACACCAGAUUUUUAGCUCUAUACUCCUAAUUAAGGGACAUGUGACUUUGCCUAGCCCUCUGGUGAUAAGUACUUCCACUAGGAAAUGUAGAAUAGGUAGAAUUGUGGUUCCCUAAAGAAAAGGACAUAAAGGUAACCUGGAUGGAACCUUGAAGUUCUGAAAUUUAAUCUCCUAAAAUGUUCUCCUUAGAUGUGAGAGAAGGAGAAAUCAGGAAAAUUAAUUCUUGUAGGGAAAGGGCUUGAAUUGAAGCUUUACUUUAGAAUUUAACCCUGGUUUGAAAUUUUCCAUUGUAUGAUCUUGGUUUAUCAUCGAUGGGAAGGGUAGAAAACUUCAAGGAAAAUAAGUGAAAUUUUCAAAGUCAACGUUUUGUUAGACCUUUUCAGCUGAUUGUUUAUUUUUCUGUGAAUCCCUAUACACAGUUGUUUCCCUUCCUCUUGAGAUAAUCUAAAUAUAAACCAGCCACUUAAUAUAAAUGAAAGAAAAAAAUAUAUACAUCCGUGAAGACAAAGGUUGAUGGCCUUUGUGUGAGUUAUACAGG